CGGAACUACUCAGUGGUGAAGGCUGUGCGGACACUGGGGGCCCGCCAGGGGUUUGGCCCCUUACUCAACCCAACCACGGUCCUCUCCGGCGCAGGCCGAUUUGAGGACCUAGACUCCUUGAUGCUGACGGCCUGAGGGGGCUCCCGGGUGCCGGAUAUCUGACACAGGCCAGGGAGGCUCCCCUGGGAGACCUGGCAGGCCUGGAGGUGUGAGUCGGCUCUGAGCAGCUGCUCUGGGAGAGCCAGUCCACGGAGCCAAAGCUGGAGGGCAGCUGCCGGCCACAAGUUGGGGAGGAGGAGAGACGCAAGGCCGUCAGAUGCUUGUCCUGGAAACCAACCAUGAGCUGUGAUGAAAUCCAGGCAACUGAGUUGUGUUUCAGCCCAAAGCAGCAAAUGGAAUCCAGCUUCAGGACCAUCAUCUGACAUAGGGGAAGAAGACUUACAUAGAAGGCCUAACCAGCACCCAAGAUCAUGUACAUGGAUGGAGCUGGAAGCCAUUAUCCUCAGCAAACUAACACAGGAACAGAAAGUCAAACACUGCAUGUUCUCACUUGGCUGGUGUCAGAGAAGGCUGAAUUGGGUACCAAGACAUUCCUUCUCUCCAGGUGGUAACAAGGACCCUCACAUGGUAUUAAUGAAGACCAAAUGUUUGAAUUUCUGCUUGACUUCUUCAAUUGUGAAAUCUGGAUCUAUGCAGGCUAGCCCUGUUUACUGCUGCUUACUCUAGGAAAUAGAAAUUGUCAGUGAACUUGGAACCAUUGUUUACCUGUAAAGUUUGUGUUGGUUUUCAAAUAUCAGUCCUGAAAUAAUAGUCUCUUUUCCUCCAUUCAUGUUUCUCAGAAAGACUUUAUUCAUUACCACAUAGUUCACAUGAACCCUACAGGCUUGAUAAUUUCUUAUCUUUCUAAUGUCCAGAUAGCAAUACACAAGAUGUACUCAUCAUCUUAGAGACAAACAUGGUGGAAUAGAGAAAGGAAAAAAAAUAUAUGUAGUAAAAACUGUCUUUUAUAUGUCAAAAUCACUUCUUAAAAAACAUGCUGGGUGAGGUGACUGGCACUUGUAAUCCCAGCUGCCCGGGAGGCUGAGGCGGGAGGUUUGCUUGAGGCCAGGAGUUCAAGGCUGUAGUGAGCUAUAAUUGUGUCACUGAGCUAUUUUCUUAAAAAACAAAAAAAGAAAUAUUAUUAUAUGAUAGGCAGAAAGCUGAAUCAUGAAAUACAUAUUUUUAUAGUUCUUUAUAAUUUUCAAUUUGACUUUUUAACUUUAUAUUUGAGUGUCACGAGAACCAAAGCAGUACACAAUACACAAACAUUAAUUUUCCCAUUUUACAUGUAAUGUUAGCAAGUAUUUGCAAAGUGUUUAGUAUAUUCCUGUUUAGUGAAUGUUGAGAAUUUGCCUGUUCCAAAUGUGUUAUAUUGAUGAGCUUAUGUAGGUUUUACAAAACUCAAAAAAAGAAGCACUAUUAUUUUCCCCAUUUAUAUGUAAUGAAGGAAUCAUGUCAUAGAAAGUAAGUAACUUUUCAACAUCCCACAGUUUAAGAGUGGUAGAGCCUGAAUACAACCCAGGCAAUCUGGCCUCAUAGAAUUUCAUCAUAACGUUUAUUUAUUGCCUCUCACAUCACAAAUAAGGUAUAGGGCAUCAUGAAAUUGUGAUUUUUUUACAUCUUAUAUAAGCAUUAUUAUAAUGAGUCUGUUCUAGAGUUCUUGUCUUCUGAUUUUAAUUUAUGAGAGAUUAAAAAAAACCUAGUGCUAGUGAGCAUAUUGAAAUUUCUGAAUAAAACUUAGGUCAGUGUUUUUCUCAAGUCCAGUGAAAUGAUUUAAUUUCUAGAUGGGUAUCAUUCUUUUGAUCAAUAAAAUGCCAAUCAGGAAACCGUGACCAAAUGGUAGCAAGUUUUUUUCAAUGGUAAAUUAUGAAUUUGUGAAUACAUGAUACAUAUGAGCGAAGCUACAGUUGCUACAUUCUAGUUAAGUGGAAUGAAUAGAAUCAUUAUCCAACUAAGAUUUAUGAGCUCAUAACAGGAACUUGUGUAGGUGAUUGAUAUAUGUCAGUGAACAAAGCAAAGAUCACUAUCUUUUAUGGUCUACAGACAAGCAAAUGAAGGGAAACAAAAAAGAAGCAAAGGAAAAGAAACCCAUACUAUAGACAUAAAUUGUAAGGCAUUAGGAAUUACAGAGAAAAAUAAAAUAUGAAGCAUGGUAAGAGGAAAUCAGAAAUAUGAAGGGGCUUAUGAUGGUGGAAUAACUAUAGUUUUUUACAGGUGUACAGAUUAGGUCUGACAUUUGGGCAAAAAUUGUAAAGAGGUAAGAAAGGUAGUCAUCCAAUUUUCUGAGAAAACAGCAUUCCAGGAAAUGGAAUAACUGCUAUAAAGGAUAAAAUGGGGAAUGACUGGUAUAGUCAAGACAUAGUAAAGUGGUCAAGAGAAUAGGUUAUGUCAUUUACAUACAAUUAAAAUGUUAAAAGUAUUAAAUAUUUAAAGAUGGUGACAAUAAAGAAUCAAACAAAUUUGGGGUCCUCUUGAGCACUGGACAUAAGUUGCAUGCCCGUGAAGCUGGCCUUGGUGGUAGACUAAACAAUCUUGGUGACAAUCUUACAUCUUGGGGAUGUAAGAUUAGAGAUGAAGAGGGGCCAGAUCUUGUAAUACAAUAUGAGCCAUAGAGAGGACUUCUACUUUGACUCUGAGUGAAAUGGGGAACUACUGAAUGGUUUUGAACAAAAGAGUGACAUGUUUUUGCUUAUAGUUUUAAAGAGGCCUCUUCUGCUGCUCUUUUAAGACUAAAAUGUAGAUUGGCAAGGGUAGAAGCAGGGAAAAGUUGCAUUAAUAAUUAAUAAUUGAGUUGGAUGAAAAUACUUUUAAGAAAUCUGAUGUCUUUGCAGUAAAUCUAGUAGCUCUACCUUAUGUGUAAAUAUGAAUGUAUAUAUGGUAUUAUAAACAUAUAUUAAGAAGACCAGUUCAAAUUAAGAGGACUAUGUGGCUUCAUGUAAAUUGAUUAUAAGAAAUAAAAAUAAAACUUGUUCCCAAAAUGAGGGUUAUAUACAGUGAUGAUUGGCAUUAUAUUCAAUGUAAAUUUCCAGUUAUGGAAAUUUCAUGUAUUAUUAUAUUUCAGUUCUGUUGAUAAUCAGAGUAUACACUUAAAAACAUCUAAUGAAUGAAGGCAUAUGAAUCGUCAUUGAAAGUAACCACAAAUCUGA
rnacentral:lncRNA from 1 species